AAUGCUUCUACUUAACAGACCUCCAGCUGAUGAGGGUUGGUCCAUGGUAAAUACAACAGUCUGGUGUGGAUUUUAUAUCAAUAGGACCACCAGCAAAGUCUGCAUCUCAAUAUUCCAUAACUGAAUAAUCUUGUCUACA
rnacentral:ribozyme from 1 species